rnacentral:rRNA from 1 species
AUGACGAGAUUGAAGAAUAGUUACUAUGUACUUCCAAGAGAACCUGAACCCAAGCGCACCAUGUCAAACACUAACAACAUUGGGAAGGUAAUGUUCCUAAUAGUUGUGGCCAGGCCUCGGUAUAACAAUGAGGGGGAGCUAACAUUCGAUUGGAAGAUCGGCAUUUGGGCAUUCAUUGAAGAGACUGAGGCGGUGCGGACAAGUCAGAACAGAGCAAAGGGAACAAAUGUGUUGAAAUCAGCGAAAGUAACCAGGCCUGUGUGUAGAGAUUAUCUCAUCGAUAAGGUUAUCCCAGCAAUUCAAGAUAAGUGGCCUAACGAUGAUGAGAGAGCAACAAUAUUCAUCCAACAGGAUAACGCAAAGCCUCAUGUCCUUCGUAAUGAUGUAGCUUUUCGAGAAGCUGUGGAACAAGCUGAUCUUGACAUCUGA